rnacentral:rRNA from 1 species
CCUGGUGACUAUACUGACGGGGAAACGCCUGAUCCCAUUCCGAACUCAGUAGCUAAGCCCGACCGGCCGAUGAUAGUCUUAUGGGCGAAAGUAGGUGAAUGCCAGGA